AUUGAACGCUAGCGGCAUGCUUUACACAUGCAAGUCGAACGAGUGGCGGACGGGUGAGUAAUCUAUCGGAACGUGCCCAGUAGCGGGGGAUAACUACUCGACAGAGUAGCUAAUACCGCAUACUAUUGGAGCCGCCGAUAUCGGAUUGGCUAGUUGGUGGGGAAAAGGCGCACCAAGGCCACGAUCCGUAGCUGGUGUGAGAGGACGACCAGCCACAUUGGGACUGAGAAACGGCCCAGACUCCUACGGGAGGAAGCAGUGGGGAAUUUUGGACAAUGGGGGAAACCCUGAUCCAGCCAUCCCGCGUGUAUGAGAAGGCCUUCGGGUUGUAAAGUACUUUUGGCGGAGAAGCGGUAUCUGCAGAAUAAGCACCGGCGAACUACGUGCCAGCCGCCGCGGUAAUAC
rnacentral:rRNA from 1 species